GUGGAUAACCUGCCUUGCACUGGGGGAUAACACUUAGAUAUAGGUGCUAAUACCGCAUAAGCGCACGGAGCCGCAUGGCUCAGUGUGAAAAACUCCGGUGGUGUAAGAUGGAUCCGCGUCUGAUUAGCUGGUUGGCGGGGUAGAAGCCCACCAAGGCGACGAUCAGUAGCCGGCCUGAGAGGGUGAACGGCCACAUUGGGACUGAGACACGGCCCAAACUCCUACGGGAGGCAGCAGUGGGGAAUAUUGCACAAUGGGGGAAACCCUGAUGCAGCAACGCCGCGUGAGUGAAGAAGUCAUUCGUGAUGUAAAGCUCUAUCAGCAGGGAAGAAAAUGACGGUACCUGAGUAAGAAGCCCCGGCUAACUACGUGCCAGCAGCCGCGGUAAUACGUAGGGGGCAAGCGUUAUCCGGAUUUACUGGGUGUAAAGGGAGCGUAGACGGCCAGACAAGUCUGAAGUGAAAAUCCAGCGCUUAACGUUGGAAGUGCUUUGGAAACUGCCGGGCUAGAGUGCAGGAGGGGCAGGCGGAAUUCCUAGUGUAGCGGUGAAAUGCGUAGAUAUUAGGAGGAGCACCAGUGGCGAAGGCGGCCUGCUGGACUGCAACUGACGUUGAGGCUCGAAGGCGUGGGGAGCAAACAGGAUUAGAUACCCUGGUAGUCCACGCGGUAAACGAUG
rnacentral:rRNA from 1 species